rnacentral:rRNA from 1 species
UUGUAGUUUGUAGAAGGUGCUUCGGGUGCGGAGUCGCUCCAAGUCCCUUGGAAUAGGGCGUCGCAGAGGGUGAGAGUCCCGUAUGGAUCGACCGCCAAGCCCGUUCGAAGCCCUUUCGACGAGUCGAGUUGUUUGGGAAUGCAGCUCCAAAUGGGUGGUAAAUUUCAUCUAAAGCUAAAUAUCUGCCCAAGACCGAUAGCGCACAAGUAGAGUGAUCGAAAGAUGAAAAGCACUUUGAAAAGAGAGUCAAACAGUACGUGAAAUUGUUGAAAGGGAAGCGCUUGCAACCAGACUCGUUCGCGGGUGUUCAGUCGCCCUCCGGGGUGGUGCACUCUCCCGCCGCGGGCCAGCAUCGGCUCUGGUGGCUGGACAAAGGCCUCGGGAACGUAGCUCUCUUCGGGGAGUGUUAUAGCCCGAGGUGCAAUGCCGUCAACCGGGGCCGAGGAACGCGCAAUGCUAGGAUGCUGGCGUAAUGGUUGCCAGCGACCCGUCUUGAAACACGGACCAGUGAGUCGUUCCGACUUCCACUGCCUUAAUAUCGUUAGCUAACUAUUUAACAGAGGAGUCGAUCAACACCGCGAGUGUUUGGGCAUCAAACCCAGGCGCAAAAUGAAAGUGAACGGAGGUGGGAGCCUUUGGCGCACCAUCGACCGAUCCUGAUGUUUUCGGAUGGAUUUGAGUAGGAGCGUUGUUGAUCGGACCCGAAAGUGAGUCGCAUCGGAUUCUGCCUUUUUUUUUUUUUUUCAAGCUAACGACAGUAGGAUGGUGAACUAUGCGUGAAUAGGGUGAAGCCAGAGGAAACUCUGGUGGAGGCUCGCAGCGGUUCUGACGUGCAAAUCGAUCGUCAAAUUUGCGCAUAGGGGCGAAAGACUAAUCGAACCAUCUAGUAGCUGGUUCCCGUCGAAGUUUCCCUCAGGAUAGCAGCAGCGAAAACAGUCUCAUGAGGUAGAGCAAACGAUUAGAGGUCUUGGGGUUGUAAUCGACCUUAACCUAUUCUCGAACUUCGAAUAUGUGAGAAGUCCUUGUUACUUAGUUGAA